AGAGUUUGAUCCUGGCUCAGAUUGAACGCUGGCGGCAGGCCUAACACAUGCAAGUCGAGCGGAUGACGGGAGCUUGCUCCCUGAUUCAGCGGCGGACGGGUGAGUAAUGCCUAGGAAUCUGCCUGGUAGUGGGGGACAACGUUUCGAAAGGAACGCUAAUACCGCAUACGUCCUACGGGAGAAAGCAGGGGACCUUCGGGCCUUGCGCUAUCAGAUGAGCCUAGGUCGGAUUAGCUAGUUGGUGAGGUAAUGGCUCACCAAGGCGACGAUCCGUAACUGGUCUGAGAGGAUGAUCAGUCACACUGGAACUGAGACACGGUCCAGACUCCUACGGGAGGCAGCAGUGGGGAAUAUUGGACAAUGGGCGAAAGCCUGAUCCAGCCAUGCCGCGUGUGUGAAGAAGGUCUUCGGAUUGUAAAGCACUUUAAGUUGGGAGGAAGGGCAUUAACCUAAUACGUUAGUGUUUUGACGUUACCGACAGAAUAAGCACCGGCUAACUCUGUGCCAGCAGCCGCGGUAAUAC
rnacentral:rRNA from 1 species